UACGUAGGUGGCAAGCGAUACUCGGAAUCACUAGGCGUAAAGCGCAGGUAGGCGGUUUGAUAAGUUUCUUGUGAAAGCUCCCGGCUUAACUGGGAGAGGCCAAGGAAAACUGUCAGGCUAGAGUGUGGCAGAGGAAGCUGGAAUUCCCGGUGUAGCGGUGAAAUGCGUAGAUAUCAGGAGGAACACCGGUGGCGAAGGCGGGUCUCUGGGCCGAUACUGACGCUGAGGAGCGAAAGCGUGGGGAGCGAACAGG
rnacentral:rRNA from 1 species